AGGAAUCGAAGCCUGAAAUUGAAGUUUUGACGUCGAAAUCAAGCCUUGCCGGAUUCUGCAAAAUUCUGGAAUUUUUCCGACCACCGAAGCUUUCGAUCGGUAUAUCUCGAGCUACAGACCAUAUUUUUCUGUGAUUCUUGAACCAGUGAGUUCUUCUUGAGUUUCUUAACAACUCUUCAGAAGGAAUCGAAGCCUUAAAUUGACGUUUUUACGUCGAAUUGGAGCUCGCCGUUUUCUGCAGUUUCUCGCCGGUUUCUGGAAAAUUCCGGCCACCUUCAUACUGUUCAAGGUGGUUGAUGGAUUGAUUGGUGAACGAUUUCGGAUCGUUGUUUUGAGCUGUUAAGAAGACGCAGCGGGAAUUUAGAGGUGAGUAAACCUCACGUGGUUCAUAUUACGAACCGAGUACCUUUAAUUACUUUAUUUUCUGUAGUAA